AAAUUAGUUAAAAAAUAACAUUAGUAUGUCAAACUAA
rnacentral:tRNA from 2 species